rnacentral:sRNA from 1 species
AAACAGCUUGUAUUUUUUACUCAAGAAGGAAAAUUUACAACAGGUUAUGGGCCCAGGAGUACUCAAAAUGAAAAGACAUUUUUGAAUAAAUAAAGUGAAAAAAAAAUACAUAAAAACAAAGAUGAGUUCUACUAUGCAUAAUACUGAAAAAUUAGAUGACGAAAAUUACGACUCAUGGAGCUUUUCAAUGAAGGCGGUGCACAUCCAUCAGGGAUACCGGAAUAUAGCGAGUGGUGUACAUAUAAAGCCAACAACAGCAGAUGAGACAUGGAACACCAAAGACGAGAAGGCGAUGGCGUCAAUCAUUUUAAGUGUUAGAGAUGCUACAACUGUGGUCCGUCAAACAACAACAACGUAUUCAACGCAGGCGUAUGGUGCGUGGACAGCGGAGCCAUUUGUGUUGCGAGCGUAGUUUAUUUGAAACAUAUCAAGAGCACAAAAACACAAUUUCAUUGUCUGGUGAGAACAAAAUUUCUGCAGGAGGAAAGGGGACUGUGCGAAUAGCUGAGUGCAACGUGCUGCUGACUGAUGUGUUGUUUGUUCCCGAACUUCAACGUAACUGUAUCUCUGUAGGUAAAGUGUCAGCAAAAGACAAAGUACAAUUGUUGUUGGCUGUUGGGUGGCUUAUUUUUAGAUGGUUCGAUGAGAGAGUGCGUACUUUACGGACAAUGUCACUUAAAGUCACUUAAAUGGCAUUAUCGGUAUGGUCAUUUGAAUGUGGCAAGUUUAAAGAGACUAUAAGAGAAAAAAAAUAAAAUGCGUAGUUUGUAUGAAGACAAAUCUACAACAAAACCAUUCGGAGAACAGAGCGUCGCAUUUAAUAUAUUUAUGUGGUCCAAUAAAAAAGAGUCAAUUGGUGGUGCUCUUUA